AUUGAACGCUGGCGGCAGGCCUAACACAUGCAAGUCGGACGGUAGCACAGAGGAGCUUGCUCCUUGGGUGACGAGUGGCGGACGGGUGAGUAAUGUCUGGGGAUCUGCCCGAUAGAGGGGGAUAACCACUGGAAACGGUGGCUAAUACCGCAUAACGUCGCAAGACCAAAGAGGGGGACCUUCGGGCCUCUCACUAUCGGAUGAACCCAGAUGGGAUUAGCUAGGAGGCGGGGUAAUGGCCCACCUAGGCGACGAUCCCUAGCUGGUCUGAGAGGAUGACCAGCCACACUGGAACUGAGACACGGUCCAGACUCCUACGGGGGGCAGCAGUGGGGAAUAUUGCACAAUGGGCGCAAGCCUGAUGCAGCCAUGCCGCGUGUAUGAAGAAGGCCUUCGGGUUGUAAAGUACUUUCAGCGGGGAGGAAGGCGGUGAGGUUAAUAACCUUGCCGAUUGACGUUACCCGCAGAAGAAGCACCGGCUAACUCUGUGCCAGCCGCCGCCGUAA
rnacentral:rRNA from 1 species